UAUUGGCUUAGUUAGGGGGCAGAGAUGAAAUUGGGAUCCGAUUUUCUAUCUGAUCCCUAAUUCUAAGGCCUUUUGAGGGGACUCUUGAUUUGCUCUAUGAAUUGUCCCCCAAGCAUACCUUGGACAUUU